rnacentral:sRNA from 1 species
UUGGCCUCCAGGGCUACCAGUGGCUCAAGGACAAAGUGCAGAGUGAAGAUGGCAAGAAGCAACAAGCCAAAGUCAUGGACCUUCUUCCUGUCGCUCACCAGCUGGGCUGCACCGUGGCCCAGCUUGCUAUUGGUGAGACAUUGCACCCUGCAGGGGCCCUGUCUCCUCCUGACAUGCUCCCAAGCCCAUCCUAAAACUGGUUUGUCCCUAGGGAGGACGCUUGUCGUCAGAGACACUUCUGAAAUCUAUGUGGUCACUGUUCCCCAUCAGUCCUCUUUUUUUCCUCCUCUGGCCCCAGCGUGGUGUCUCCGCAGUGAGGGUGUCAGCUCUGUCUUGCUGGGGGUGUCGAGUGCGGAGCAGUUGAUAGAACACCUGGGCGCGCUACAGGUGCUGAGCCAGCUGACCCCGCAGACAGUGAUGGAAAUAGACGGGCUCCUGGGAAACAAGCCGCAUUCCAAGAAGUAGUCUGUCGCGGGCGCAGGGACCCAACCCGGUGUCGCUGCACCCGCCCGAGCCCCGCUCCUCGCAGCCGCCUCUCCCGCUCCGGAUCCCUCCACGCAGCGGCCGGAGCCAGACUAGCCCCGCCCACCAACGAGUCCCGGCUUCGAGUAGUGAUACGCAUGAACAAAGCCAUAUCCUUUCGCAGUGGGGUCGAGAGAGAAAGUAGCACGCCCGCCCCCUGCUGCGUCUUUCUAGGCCCUUCUUGCAAAUCCCGGGCAUGAGCUACUCGCCGUCGGCUCUCUGCCACUUCGUCUCGCCCCCUACUCUCCUCCCCUUAUUCCCGAGGCCCAGAAAAGAAAACAAAAACAAAAACCCAGCACAUACAAGAAACAUGCAGUGUACCUCAAAAGGGGCCCUU